GAUGAACGCUGGCGGCGUGCCUAAUACAUGCAAGUCGAGCGAACAGACGAGGAGCUUGCUCCUCUGACGUUAGCGGCGGACGGGUGAGUAACACGUGGAUAACCUACCUAUAAGACUGGGAUAACUUCGGGAAACCGGAGCUAAUACCGGAUAAUAUAUUGAACCGCAUGGUGCAAUAGUGAAAGACGGUUUUGCGGUCACUUAUAGAUGGAUCCGCGCCGCAUGAGAUAGUUGGUAAGGUAACGGCUUACCAAGGCAACGAUGCGUAGCCGACCUGAGGGGGUGUAGGCCCACACUGGAAGUGAGCCACGGUCCAGAAUCCGAGGGGCGGCAGCAGUAGGUAAUGUUCCGCAAUGGGCGAAAGCCUGCCGGAGCAACGCAGGGUGAGUGAUGAAGGUCUUCGGAUCGUAAAACUGUGUUAUUGGGGAAGAACAAAUGUGUAAGUAACGAUGCACGUCUGGAGGGAACCUAUACAGAAGGCCACGGUUAACUACGG
rnacentral:rRNA from 1 species